rfam:Pristionchus pacificus strain PS312 contig3102, whole genome shotgun sequence.
UCUUCAUUUCGCACACUGUCUCACCAAUCUAUCGGACGAGAGAGUGUGUGAAAUGAAGAGA